GGCACAGGCACUCCAAUGUCAUUUAAGGCUGGAUUCGAAGUAUAAAGACACACACAUGGUAACCCUAAAAAUGAUCGAUUUAAUAAAUCGAUCAGUCCUCUGCUGGGGAGCGUGGGGGGGACGAUUUCAAGGAAGUGCUAUACUCAGGCAUGGGAGGUGAGGAGGCCUGCACUGGUGUGACCCAUCCUCCUGACUUGCCAGGGACUGAGGGGGUCCCCGGAGGGGACAAAUUGGCCGCCCUAGCCUGUGAUGCUUUAUUAUUAUUAUUUUUAAUAUUUAUUCAUUUUUGAGAGAGAGAGAGAGCACGAGAGAGGGAGGGGCAGAGAAAGGGGAACAGAGGAUCCCAAUGUAGUUUGAGCCCCACUGCAGGGCUCGAACUCCUGAACCGUGAUCACCACCUGGGCCGAAGUCUGCCGCUCAACCGACUGAGCCACCCAGGCGCCCCUGUGAUACUUUAUCUUUUAAGGACGGGUGUGGGUACGUGGGCCUUUGCUCCAUUACUUCUGUAUCCUUUUGUAGACUUAGAACAUUUCACUGAGAAGAGAGAGACAAUCUCUCCCAAGAGGUGUGUUCUCUGGGGGCCCCCAAGAGAAAGUCACUGAUUGUGUGGGGAGACGAGAAAAGACUUGUAGGAGGCACUAUUCGAGGUGAAGCUCGAAGUGGAAGUGAGAAUCCCUCCAGCUCUCACCACUCAGUUUUGGAAUUAUUUUCCUGCCCCUCUGCGUGCCUUGCUAAGCUGCAGGCUUCGGGAGAAGGAGGACCGAAUGGCAGGGCCCAUUUUACGUGUCAGCCUCAGCGCGCGCAGAUAUUUGGUUCAGCGUUGGACCUGGGGAGUCCGUGAGGGUGUUUCUGGAUGCGAUUAACGUGUGCCUGGGUAGACUGAGUACAGCAGAUGGGACAAAAGGCUGAAUAAGAAAGGAUGCUUCCCCUCUGCCUGCCUGUCUUAGAGCUGUGACAUCCGUCUUCUGCCUUCAAUCUCAGACUUGAACUUGCACCAUCGGCGCUCCUGAGACUCAGCCCUGCAGACUCAGGCUAGAAAUAUCAGCUCUCCUGAGGCUCCAGGUUGCCUCCCACAGAUCUUGGACUUCUCAGCCUCUAUAAUCACAUGAGCCAUUGCCUUAUGAUUAGUAUCUAUCGACUGAUCAAUCAAUCGAUCGAUCAUCUAUUCUAUUGGGUCUGUUUCAGUGGAGAACCCAGACUCAUACCCUGGGUCUUAUACUUCCGUCCCCAGUACGUAGCCCAGACAUGCAUACUAGGUGCUCUGCAGACGUCUGCUGCCCGAGGAUACAGAUGCAGAUCCCGGCAACUGCACGAGGUGUGGACCCGUGUCGGCAUCUGGCUCGUUUGUUUCGGUGACCAUGGUUGACCGAAGUCCUGAAGCAGAUGACCCUCCUUCCGAAGUCUCAUCAGGAGGUCAGUGGUAGCAUCGCGCUACGUCACAGGGCCUCCGUCACUCACCCCACUCACUUCAUCUCAUUACGCAGGCAUUUUCUCAUCUCCCAUCAUCAUAAGAAGAAGGGUAUUUGUGGUUGUUGGAGCGACUUCUACCUGCGCUAAACCACCCCACCCUGAGGUUUUGAAGUGAAGUGUUUUGAUUGGCUCCGAAUGUGAUCAUGUGAUUGAGGAUUGGCCAAUGAGAUCAUCGCAUUCCUGCCAAGUUAUCGGCUCAGCUGCCUGAUGCAUUCCCAACUCAGCUUCCUUUAGCUAGACCCAACAAUCAUCCACAGAAAUCCCAGUGCCACCCGACGCAAGAGGAAGUGAGACGGAAGAGAAGCCAACCAACCGGAAGGAAAACUGGCCUUAAUUGGUGGUGGGCGAACCAUCCUAUUCGUGCAAAUCACAUGGAAACACGUGACCCUAGAAAGAGAGAGAGAGAGAGAGAGAGAGAAUCUCAAGCAGGCUCCACACUCAGCACAGAGCCCACAGAGUCUCAUAACCCAGAGAUCCUGAUGUGAGCCGAAAUCAAGAGGUGGAUGCUCAACCGAAUGAGCCCCCCAGGUGCUCCCCCACCAAGACUUUUGAAGGGAAAAAAAUGCCUUAAUUUCAAGGUGCACCUCUGACAGCAGGGGUCUAAGUCAGUGUGACGGGUCACUAGGACAGAUAUAGACUGUAGACCAUGCAGGCAGGUCCUGCAAAUCACAUGCGGUGUAUUCGUUUUCUAUCGCGACUGUAACGCGCAGCCACGGGUUGGAAGGCUUAAAACAAAGUCUGUUUACCCUUUCAUGUGUCUGUAGGUCAGAAGUCCAAGUUCACCGUGCCCUGGUGGGUCCUUUGCUUAGAGUCUCCCAAGACUGAGACCAGAGUGGUCAGUGGGACCAUGUUCCUUUCUGGAGGCUCUGGGGAUGAAUGUGGUUCCAAGCUCAUUUCAGUAGUUAGCUGAAUUCAGUUCCCCGUGGUUGUGGGACUGAGGAGCCCCUGCUUCCAAUGGGGGGGGCUGGUCCUUGCAACUAGAGGCUGCCCACAUUCCUUCUCGUGCUUUCCAUGCACCCCCCGCCAGCAGCAGUGGGGCAAAACCCUCCCAGGCUUCAAAUCUCUGACAUCUUCCAGCCCAUUUCUCUGCCUGCGGCCAGAGAAAGUUCUCUGCUUCUGAGGACUUUUUGGAAUUAUGUGAUUAUAGGGGUGCCUGGGUGGCUCCGUCAGUGAAGCAGCGAUCUCUUGAUUGCCGCUCAGGUCAUGAUCUCACAGUUUGGGAGUUCGAGCUCCACGUCAAGCUCUACACUGACAGCACAGAGCCCGCCUGGGAUUCUCUCCCUCUCCCUCGCUCUCCGCCCCUCCCCGACUCACUCUCUCUCAAAAAUAAGUAAACAUUAAAGAAAUAAAAUCAGAUCGUGUGAUUAUGUGGGGCCCACGAGGAAAACCCAAAGCAAUCUCCCUAUUUUAAGGUCUGUAGCCUUAACCACGGCCGCAAAGCCCCCUUUGCCCUAUAACAUAGCGUCCUAACAGGUUCUGGGGACUGUGCCGUGGGCAUCUGUGGAGGGGGGCGUUCUGCCCACCACGCCGAGCAAGGAGGCAGAGCGACAGGAUUUACAUCCUCACGCUUGCAUCACGUGGCACUACGAUGGCCCUUACGGCAUACCGUGGCCCCUUGUGCCGCCUGCGGUAAUUCUCCAGCAGGUAAGGGCCGCUGUCGCAGAGCUGGUGAGGAAUCUGGGCUCCGGAGCCAGACUGCUCGUGCUCAAAGCCUGGUGCCUCUGUUCGCUGUGUGAGGCUGAAGAAGUUUUUAAGCUCCGUGCUUAUUUCGUUGUCCACACAGCGGAGACAGCGACCUUGGCCGCAGAGGGUAGUUAACGAGGAGUAAACGAGUUGACACACGCAGGGGGCUGAGUACUGUGCCCGGCACACGGUGGCAGCAAGCUGUCACCACCAUCAACCACCUUAUCAUCAGCAACCGCACUGCCACGUCCUGCCACGGUCCCCCACGGCCCUUUUUACCAUUUGCAGGCAUAACUUUUUUUUUUUUAAGUUUACUUAUUUAUUCUGAGAGAGAGAGACAGAGAGAGAGAGAAAGGGAGAAUCCCAAGCAGGCUCCACACUGCCAGCACAGAGCCUGACUCGGGGCUCAAACCCAUGAACCCUAAGAGCAUGAGCUGAGCUGAAAACAAAAGCCCGACGCUUAACCGACUGAGCCACCCAGGCUCAAGCCUAACUUUUGUCCGUGUGUUUGCUCAGUGUGUAUUACGCCCAACGAGAUUGAAGUUCCGUAAGGGGUAUUCCGUGGGAGGGAGUUGCAUCGGAUCCAUUUUCAGUUACCUAAGUUAUCAAGAAUACAUUUUGAAAGCAGAUCGAAAAUUCGAGAACGAGGCCAAGGUCUCCGUUGGGCACCAUGUUUCUUCCUCCUGGUCCCUUCUCUCCCCCAAAGAGAGGCGGCCUGAAGUCGGAUGAUAUCAAGUGUUGCUGUGGGUGUGAAGAAAUGGAAAUGCCCAGAUGAUGUAAGUGGAUACGGCCUCCACCGAGGGCAGCCUGGCGGCAGCGAUUAAAAUUAAAAACGGGCAUUUCUCAUGACUCGGCGGUUUCGCUUCUCCGGGAUCCCUUACAGCCACACAGGAGCCGCAGAGAGGGAUGCCCUUUGCUGUAUUUUUCGUCACGGCAGAAACGAGACAAGUAAACCAUCAUCCAAAGAGGAACGGUGAAUUAAAACACAGCUUCUCCCGGAAGGCGGUGCAAGGAGUAAAUGUGGGCCUUCUAGCUCUGUUUCAAAACUUCACAUUCUUGUUUGUACUUCGCCUGUUCUAAUAAGACCAGCAGCCUUGCUGGUUCUAGAAGGGGUAGGCGAGGCACAGACGUUAAGUACCUUCCCCGAGGUUAUCUAAUGGGGCUGGAAUCUGAACCCGGGCAGUCUGACGCCCAAGUAAGUGGGGUCAGUCCCGAUGCGAGACAGCCUUUUCCUUUUCUUUUUUCGCAAGGCACGGAAUAUAUUCAUAUCGUUCAAGUCUUCGUGUGUACAAAAGCAAUGGGCAACAAGUGAGAGUCACCGAAAGUUCAGAACUUUAAGGGCGCCUGGUCACCGAACUUUCGAGAUAGCUGGAGAGCAGUGGACAGCCACAGAAAGGAACAGGUGGGUCUUUAUGGCCAGUUCCGUCUUGUUUACUUUUGUUUUCCCAGUGCUUCCCAAGGCAGCUCGCCCAUGGUAAGAACGCAUCAAGUAUUAAGGAAUAAAUAAAUAACCUUAGUGCAAGGCCUGCCCUCCAGUCUGACCGAAGGCAGGAAAACAGAGCCCGGACCUAGGUCUUCAUGUUCCUUGUACCCCGCCCCCCAGGCCCUGCGUCCCUGGGAUCCUGGCUGGGCAGCUGCAAGAAGUUUCGGGUUUGCUGGAGCAUAGAGCUGGAGGUCUUUGAGGCUAAGUGACGAACUGGACAUUCCUGGAAGAGCAUUAGGGAACCUCAAAGAAAAAAACAAAACAAAACCAAAAACGGCUCCUAGACCUACUAAUUGAGUAUCGUAAGGUUGCAGGAUGCAAAGUCGGCACCAAAAAAAAUGGAUUAUUUUCUACAUCUUAGCGAUGAACAGUUGGAUCCAAACUUCAAAACACAGUAUCGCUUACGGUCGCUUCUCCCAAGGAAAUUUUUUAAUGUUUAUUUAUUAAUUUUGGGAGAGAGCGAGCGUGCACGCACACACACACGCAUGCGUGCAAGCGGGGAAGGAGCAGAAAGAGAGAGAGGGAGAGAGGAUCCCAAGCAGGCUCCACACUCAGUGCAGAGCCCCACGGGCUCGACCCCACAAGCACAAGAUCGUGAUCUGAGCCAAAACCAAGAGUCAGAUGCUCAACGGACUGAGCCACCCAGGCGCCCUGAUGAAGGAAAUUUUUAAAAAGACCUAAGUAAAUGGAGAGACACGCUGUGUUCAUGAAUUGCAAGACUCAGCAUUGCGUACUCCCUGCACUGAUUUGUAGGUUUAACCCAUUGCUUCUCAGAAUCCCAGCAGACAAUAUGAUUCUAAAAUUUACACGUAAAGGCAAGGGGACUAGAAUAGCUAAAACAGUGUUGGAAAAGAAGAAAGCGGGAGAUUAUAGGUUCACUCUGGUGUGAAGGCUCAUUAUAUAGUUAAGGUAAUGGAAACUGUGGUAUUGCAGCGGGACAGACACGUAGAUCAAUGUGACCAGGAUAGAAAACUCAAAAGCAGACCCACGCAAGUGUGCCCCACUGAUUUUUGAUAAAGGUGCAAACACAAUUGGCCAUCCAUAAGCAAAAUAUGACCCCCAAACUAGUCUCACAUCAUGCACAAAAAUUAACUUGAAGUGGAUCAUAGCUCUGUGAGUGAAGCAUUAAAAUACAAGACUAGCAAAAAACAAAACAAAACAAAACAACACA